UAGGGAAUAUUAGAAAUGGACGAAAGUCUGAUCUAGCAACACCGCGUGUGCGAAGAAGGCCUUCGGGUCGUAAAGCACUUUUUGGAAGGAAUAGGAAGGAAUGUACUUCCAGAAUAAGUCUCGGCUAACUACGUGCCAGCAGCCGCGGUAACACGUAGGAGGCAAACGUUAUCCGGAUUUACUGGGCGUAAAGCGCGUGUAGGUGGUACUGUAAGUAGGGCGUGAAAGCUCCUGGCUCAACUGGGAGAGGCCGGUCUAAACUGCAGAGCUAGAGGAUGGUAGAGGGAGGUGGAAUUCCGGGUGUAGCGGUGGAAUGCGCAGAUAUCCGGAGGAACACCAGUGGCGAAGGCGGCCUCCUGGACCAUUCCUGACACUCAGACGCGAAAGCUAGGGUAGCAAACGG
rnacentral:rRNA from 1 species